GGGCGUGGUCUGUGGGACGCUGUGGCUUACUAGGACCGAGAAAAAGGACCUGACAAAUGAUGUCCUUCUAGAAAAGUGAAGUCCUCCUGGCAAUGUUCUCUUUAACCCAUGAUGGGGAUUAAGAGGAGUUUUUACUGAUUAUGAGGAAAUGUGUAUGCGCUAUUAAAGUUUUGUUUUUUUUCCUGCAUUGGACCUUCAUCUUUUAUCUAUCAAAGUAUAAGAUUACUCGUGUAUAAGGCUGGCUGCAAAAUCCUUCACAAAUGAAAAUAUACCCUAUAAGUGAACAUAA